AACGAACGCUGGCGGCAUGCCUAACACAUGCAAGUCGAACGAGACCUUCGGGUCUAGUGGCGCACGGGUGCGUAACGCGUGGGAAUCUGCCCUUCGGUUCGGAAUAACUCAGGGAAACUUGAGCUAAUACCGGAUAAUGACGUAAGUCCAAAGAUUUAUCGCCGAAGGAUGAGCCCGCGUAGGAUUAGCUUGUUGGUGGGGUAAUGGCCCACCAAGGCGACGAUCCUUAGCUGGUCUGAGAGGAUGAUCAGCCACACUGGGACUGAGACACGGCCCAGACUCCUACGGGAGGCAGCAGUGGGGAAUAUUGGACAAUGGGCGAAAGCCUGAUCCAGCAAUGCCGCGUGAGUGAUGAAGGCCUUAGGGUUGUAAAGCUCUUUUACCCGGGAUGAUAAUGACGGUACCUGAGGAGGAAGCCACGGCUAACUACGUG
rnacentral:rRNA from 1 species